GCAAAUUGCAGUUGAACACAUACAGCAAGAAAAAUGUUAAUUUCUCUACCAUAAGCAGUCUCCAACAGCAUUUCAGAGAAUUUGGCAGUACAUCCAGCCGGCCUCACAACCGCCUACCAAGUGUAACCACACCAGUCCAGGACCUCCACAUCCAGCAUCCUCACCUCCAAGAUCGUCUAGGACCAGCCACCAGCCAGCUGCUGCACCAAUCAGUUUGCAUAACCAAAGAAUUUCUGAACAAACUGUCGGAAACCAUCUCCGGCAAGCUCAUCUACAUGCUCGUCAUCCUCAUCGGGGUCUCUACCUG